UGAUGUGAGGGCAGUCUGGCUGUGACAUCUGUCACUCCACUGAUUUCCAGAGCUGAUUUGGCUGAUCUGGCUGUUUAGGUGGGUGUCCCCUUCUUCCCUUACCACUCCAUGUGUGUCCCUCCCAAGGUUGAACAGGACGACCUUCCCUAGAAUACAGACUGGUCUUCAGAGUAUAGGAGUAGCUGUGUUCCCCUGCUAGAACCUCCAUAUAAGUACUGCACGCUAACCCAUUGCACCACUGGAGCUCCAGAAACUCCAAACAAGCUCUCAGGAAAUAAGAGGGGACCCAACAGGUAGCUCAGCAGAGGAUCACAGGCCUUGCACAUGUAAGGCCUGGAGUC
rnacentral:snRNA from 1 species